AACGAACGCUGGCGGCGUGGCUAAGACGUGCAAGUCGAACGGACCUUACAAUUGAGUAAUCGAGAGUUUGGUUAGUGGCGAAAGGGUUAGUAACGGAUAGGUAACGUACCUUGUGCUUUGGGAUAGCGUUAGUUGCUUCGGCAACUUUCCGAAAGGGGCGGUAAUACCAUAUAAUAUCAAUCAUCGACAGGUGAUUGAUCAAAGAUUUAUCGGCAUAAGAGCGGCCUAUCUCCUAUCAGCUUGUUGGUGAGGUAAAAGCUCACCAAGGCUAUGACGGGUAGCGGGACUGAGAGGUUGAUCCGCAACAUCGGGACUGAGACACUGCCCGGACCUCCACGGAGGGCUGCAGUAACGAAUAUUGCGCAAUGGGCGAAAGCCUGACGCAGCAACGCCGCGUGUAGGAUGAAGUCUUUCGGGACGUAAACUACUGUCAGGGGUAAGAAAGUGCGCUUCGGCGCAUUGAUCCAACCCAAAGGAAGUCACGGCUAACUUCGUGCCAGCAGCCGCGGUAAGACGAAGGUGGCUAGCGUUGUUCGGUGUUACUGGGCUUAAAGCGUGUGUAGGCGGAAUUGUAAGCGUCCUGUGAAAUAUCUCAGCUUAACUGAGAAAUUGCUGGGCGAACUACUUUUCUUGAGGCAGGUAGGGGUGCAUGGAACUCUUGGUGGAGCGGUGGAAUGCGUAGAUAUCAAGAGGAACGCCAGUGGUGAAGACGGUGCACUGGGCCUGUCCUGACGCUGAGACACGAAAGCGUGGGGAGCGAACGGGAUUAGAUACCCCGGUAGUCCACGCUGUAAACAAUGUCUACUAGAUUGCGGGAGUUCUGAUGCUUUCGCGGUCGAAGCAAAAGUAUUAAGUAGACCGCCUGGGGAGUACGGUCGCAAGGCUA
rnacentral:rRNA from 1 species